CUUUUGCAGGUAGCGCAAUUAAGUUGGAUCGAAAGGAAGGCAGCUGCAACUUUCUAUGGAACACCUCCAAGUUCCACUGUUGAUGAGGCUCUAAAAAACUUUUUAAAGGCUGAAGAAUUGAAACCAGAAUACUCCAAAGUGAACUCGGUCUACAUUGCAAAGUGCUACAGGGAUCUUGGGAGCUAUGCCACUGCCCUACAUUGGCUUGAAUUAGCAUCUGCGUUACCCAUCAAAUCUAAGGAGGAUGCAAAUGCCGCGAGUGAACUACUAGAAAUGCAAAAUGUCCUCAGCCUAAGAAGCUAAACACUGUCCUGUUUUAAGCAUAAGAGCUUAGAAGGUCUUUGUUCCACUGCAGAAUAUCCUUGUGUUAUGUAAAGAACUUUGAAUCCAACUUGUCCUGUUAUUCUGGUAUUUUAUUCUGUCUCUGAAGAACCAUAAAAUAUCAUAAAUCAUGUCAACUUGAUGGUCAGAGGUUGAGAAUGUUCUUCAAAUCUCAAAGAGACCACUCUUUUCUCAAACCCUUACAUACAGGAGAUAGAUAUUGGAUCCCAAAGAGUUGACUGAUUUAUUUUCCUCUGGCAGCCGAGACUUCCUAUACUGUAUGAAGAGACUGGCUUGUCUCCUGUAUGUAAAAGAAAUCUAUUUUUCAUGGUUUCUAUUCAUAUUCUUCUAACAGGAGCUUCAAAUGGGCUAAUUUUAAGAUUGUUUCCUUCAAUUUAUUUGGAUAAGCAUACAAGAGGUAUAUGCACAGAUGUAAGGAAGACAUUGUCCUUUUUUUAAGGUAAUGCAGCAUAUAAAUUUCCAGGAUCACAGAAUUGGUGUUUCAGAAGACUCUGAUUUUGGAAGUUUGUACUGUUAUUGUGCAUUUGCCUCAACACAUUUAUAGUGCUUGUGUACCUUUGUGACUUACAAAAUGACUGUUUAGAAGCAUGAUGAAAUGUUUUCCAUUCGACUGAGCAAUGAGUUCAUAAAAAUACUUAAAGAUGGAAGCUGUUCGUUCAGCAAAAUGAACGUGUAGUGAUCAUUCAGAGCAAAGCAAACUAGGUUGGAUUCUCACUCUAUGUUGCCAUUAAUCAAGUUCAGAUAACAAUGCCACAGAUGGCCUUCAACACCCUGGCCUAAAGAGAGGAGAAAACCAGUCAAUAUUUACUCAAUUAAUGAGUGCAGAAGGUGUACAUUUGUGUGAAGUUGUGAGAAGAGGGCCAAGAUCAGACCUGGGGGGUGUGUGGCAUCAUGGUAAUGUCACUGGGCUUGUAAUCUGGUGGCCCAGGAUAAUGCUGUGAGGACACAGGUUCACAUAUCACCAAUUCACCAAUUCAAUUGAUAUAUCUGAAAUUAAAAACUUGUCCUUUAGGAAAAGAAUCAUUACGUUGUCUGGCCUGCAUGUGACUCCAGACUGACCGCAAUGUGGGGUGCUCUCUGAAAGAGGCAAGUAGCCCCUCUGUUGAAGGGUAAUUGGGCACUGACAACAAAUGCUGACCUUGCUCAUGAUGCCCACAUCCUAUGAAAGUUUUUUUUUUAAUUUUUCCUUGAUCUGCCAGCUCUUACUGUCUAAAUGCAUUUGUGAAGAUUGCGAAGGACAGUUAUGGAACAGAACUCGUGGAGUGACCUAAAUCAGUGGCUUCAGGAUGGUGGUACAGAUUGGAGAGACAGAUGUGUAUUUCUGCAUUGCACAGCAAAAACUAUCAUCUCCAUUUCACCAGCUACAAUAUUUAGAUUUAACUUAGGUGUGAGAUUGAUUUGUUACCAUUUGAUAAUCUUAUUUUCAUAGAACAGCAAAUUGCUAAUGCAGUGCAAAUGGUCAUCUGCUGUAGCUUCAUGAUGAAGAAGCAGAUAAAUUUCAGUGUCUAUUAUUUGACUUGGGAGUAAGAUCUCCAUUUAUAGUUCAAAUAUAUUUGAAAUAAGGCAAAGUGCAGAACCUUUAUAUAAAAAUCCAAAUAAGUUAAUGUUUGAGUGUUCUUCACAGCAAUUCAAGCAAGAUAUCUGCAAGUUAAGCAAAUAACCAGGUGCUAAGAUUAGCUUAGUACUGCUGCUAUACCCAGCAAAGGCACUGUUUUUCAUUUACAAUGAAUGACAAGUGUAGUGUUGGCAGAUAAAAUAGUCACAAAGACACAGAUUACUUUUCUCUGUAGACUAUAGUCAGAUAAGCACAAAGUUCAGGGCUCUUGUGCAUAGAACAAGAAAAUAGUCAGAUUUUCUAGGGCACCUGUAGUGAUGAGAAUUUAUUGAUUGUUUUCAUGUCAAAACUGACUUGUCACCUCAAAUUAUUUGCAGAAACAUUUGGGCCAUUUACUAGGUUUUAAAGGUUUUAAUGUUAGGAACCCCACCCCAAGGGAACUUGUAACGUAACAUUUUCCCCAUCCUUCCACUCAACAUUUAGAAUCUGUAUACUGUGUUAGAUUUUGCGACUGCAACAAAAUGACUUAGCAGCAGGCCUGACAGGAAUCUGCCACAUUUACAUUGAAUGAGAAAUUCUACUACUGCUGUAUCAGCAACAAAAACUGAUCCUGCCAUUAUCCGAUGGAAAAAUAAUAAACAACAUGGUCAUUCUGGAAUGCUACACUUUAGGUAUUAAAUAAUAAUGAAUGAUAUAUAACUUGACAAUCAUCAAAAAUACUGAUCGAUUGAGAUGAAGUACAUGACCAAAAAUUCAUCCAAAUUUUGUAUUUCAGCUCUGUGCAAUUUAUUUUGCAUUGUCCCAAAAGAGACACAGAUCUUUAUAUAACUUACUGCAAAUAACUUUAUAAUAACCUCUUCUCCUAGCAAGCAGCAGUGUUACCACACAGUUUUCUUUGUUUAUGUGGUCAUAUCCAUGGUUAGCCCAUCAACAUUUCAAAGGUCCACUCAAACUUAUUCCUGUGAAAUGACUGUCACUGAAGAGGGGGUGGAAGGCUACAAAUCACCUUCAACUUUCUGACAAAUACUCCUUUGAGUUGCAGAGUCUAUUUCCAAUUCUAAUAUUCUUUGCCUAUUUUGGAUUGGUUCAGUAUGAUUUUGAUACACCUGCUUUAAAACUUUUGCACUGUUUCUAGUGCAUAAAACAACCAAACAGAUAUUGUGAAGAGAAACAAAUUUUAAUGUCCAGUUUUGAGGUUGGCUGAUAUUCACUAUACCACAAUAAAUUAGUCAUUUAUAGGAAAUGAGAAUAUUGAACUCUUCCUCAGUUGCCUUUUCAGUUCCCUGCCUACACCAAUUGACUCACUAAUCUUUGGAAGACAAAUAGCUAAGUGAAAGACCCGACAAUGUGCAAGUUGUUUCUUCUUUUUCUGUAAGGCCCAACAACAUAUUUUCAACCCACUUAACACACUACAGUUUGUCUUUCUCUCCCUUGGGCAUCCAAAACUUUCCAACUAUUCACUUCCUGGACUCCUCUUCGCAAGGACUAUUGAACUUGCAAAUCACUCACUCACUCUCCACUUGGAAUUUGGCUAGCUGUCCUUAUCCUUGUUCCUCAUUUUCUUUGGGCCAUUCCUUCUGUCUUUUAAACCUCAACGUUUCAAGACUAUGUUGCAUUCAAUCUGUGUUCUUAUCUGCUCAUCACCCUUUGCUUAUCCUGUGAGAAAAGUCACAGAAGAGAUAAUAUAUGUAAAAUUACAUGAACACCCUGAAAGCAUUCUACAUUUAGCAGAACCCUUCAAAUUCUUUUCAACUUGAAAUAGACAUUUCUGUGCCAUUCACUUUAAAUAUGCAGUAUGCUCAUGUGGUUUAUAUUUUUGCUUUGAACAAGAACUUGUUCCUUUUAUUAUUUCCAAUUAUUUGAUUGCAGAAACAUUGUACUGUGGGCAAGUAAUGGUCCUCCAUUUGAACUUCUCCCUUCUGAACAUAAGUUCAAACAUAACUGGGGGUCCUUCCAAAGUUCCUAUUUCCCCACAAUUUGGAAUCCAUGGGCAGAGUGUGCAGUUUUCCGACCAUUAGUUUUAAUGUCUGUAAGAUGGGGGUUGGUGCUUUAGUAGUUUCCUAAAAUACACAACCCACAGUCAGGAAUCCUGCUUAUAGUACAGACUGUGAAGAUUGUUCUGUGCAUUCCCAAACUGUCCCCUUGAUUUCAAGACCAGAAGCAUAUCUCGCUAGACCUCAUGAAACAUUUCCUUCAAGGUCAGGAAUUUUCCAAAAUAUAUCUUGACUCUGUUCUCUGAAGAGCAGGUGGAUUGGUUGGAUUGCUAUAUACCACAGAUGUUUUCUUACAAAGCUGCCUGUACCAGGUAUGGAGCAUAGUCCAAUGGUCUUGGGAUCGAUGACAGGUUGUGGUAUUAGGGUGAUUAGAAGAGUGCAAGGUAUAAAGAGACAUCAAACUUAAUUUUUACAGCUUAAAAAAAACAAAGUUGUCAUUCCUGUAGGAGCCUAAUCCUCAGUGACCAGAAUACUGGCCUUGGUUCAGAUUGCUUUAGCUUUUGAGUCAAACAAAUCCAAAACCCACAGCGAAAAAUAACCACAACAUGUUCAUCUUUUCCACAUAGAAUUUGAAGAUAACUUUUCUCUCACACAACUUAUUAUUCAAAUGAUUUUGAGUCAUGUGAAUGUAGGAAUACAUGAAAUCUAGGAUGUGUACAGAACUGAAUGUGAUGGUGUUUGACUGGUCUGUCAGGCUAGAUUGGACCUCAAGUCAUUAGAUGACACAUAUCACUCUCAAGAGACUGACAGACACAUUAGAAAUAUCCACAAAACGUAAACAUAAUAUUUUGCAAAUUAUUGUGAGACAGGUCAGUGCCCAGCACAAUGAAAGUUAUGGGACAACCCAAAUGACAUCUUUCACCAUACCAAAGUGGUUGCAAUGUGUCUGUGUUACAAAUGAGUUAAUUUCCUAGAUGAUGAACUAAUCUAUGAUGUAUGAUACAAAGUGACAGUCUUUUUGUCAGUACGAUGUAGACUGAUGAAUACACUUGAGCGAAUUUUUCCAAAGUGUUUCAAGCCAUCUCUGGUCCAGUUGUCUGGUGAAGGCCUCUUCAGUGUGGAAAUAUAUCUAACUCUCUCCAUCUUUGUAAUGGAUUGUGAAUCUAAUAACAGGAAACUGUGUGGAGUAAGGAGUUCUCAUAGUUUAACAAACUGCAGUAGCACAUUUCACUUGUUGGAUCGAAGGACAACAUAUUGCCAUGUUGUCGCAGAGAUUACUUCAAUAGGAUUCUGUUUCGUAGGUCCCCCACAAAGUGAGUUUAUUCCCUUUGUUAAGCCAAUGGGCAGAGGGAGCAGGCAAUUCAGGAGCAGUAAAAUUUAAAGUAAGUUUACACGUGACACCAUCUUACUCUGCAAUGUAAGGGCAUCUAUGAAUGGAUAGUGUUAUGUGGUGGGGGAGGAGUGGGAUGGGAAUUUAACAAGUUUGGAGAAAUUAAUUUGUCAAUUGGAGGAAAUAAAUAAGUGAGAAUUCCAAUUGAAAGAAUUUUGAAAGAAGAUGAAUCACUGUUGAUUAAAUUUACAAAAAGGGAUGUCUUAAUAAUGUCUAAUCUUUUUCUGUCAUCUGACAAGAUGCCUUCCAAGUAGUAGUAUGCAGCACAGUCAUCCAUUAAAGCAUAGGGAUUAAUAAUGCAUUGCCACUCUCAGGACCACAGGGACUGAUUGUGACUCUGAGUUAGAACGGCAUGAAUCUUCUACAUUGCCUAUUUUCGUAAUGUUGCUGAAUUAUAUCCCACAGGAGUUUUUAUAUUCAAAUUCACUGACAAACAAGCAUGACUAACCAUACCACAUACAGGACAGUGGAUAACAAUAGACUUAUUCAGUGGCAUCACGGUUAUCUAGUCCUCAGCAGUUGGACAGGACCCGGUACUCGGAAGUUGGAGAAGGCCUUGGUCCUCGGCAGGUGGGCUGGCCCCAGUAUUCGGCGAUGGCCGGUUCGUGAAGUAGGAGGCCGUGGACUGAACAAAAAUGACAUUUGUCUUAACUUUGCCUCAUUUUUUAAUGUAAUUUAUGUAACUAAAUGGCACUGUUUUUGUGGUGACUUGCACACACUUUACUGUAUUUUCACAAAUACAAGUAACAAAUUGUCUAUCUUUCUAUGAUGCAAUCUGCUGAAUUGUUAUAUUUGGUUUGUUUGCAUCAAGCAAUCUUGUUUUUGUUUUACAAAAAUUAAAAUUAGCACUAAACAUUUGAAUUUAAAA